AAGAAGAAGAAGAAAAAGAAGAAAUUACUCAUGGCAGCAUCCCAUGAAUAUGCUAAAAAAAAUUGAGAGGGAACUCUAAUAGAAACAGCAGAGAAAUAAAAGAAGAAACAAUAACAACCCAUUUCGGGAAAAAAAAAGUAAAAAAUGUCCUCAUUUGGUUUGUAAUCAUUUACUUUAUGCAUGUCAUUAACUUAGAGAACAAAAGGAAAGAUGGGGGGAAAAAUUUACAGACCAGUCUCUGA
rnacentral:misc_RNA from 1 species